UACGAAGGGGGCUAGCGUUGCUCGGAAUCACUGGGCGUAAAGCGCACGUAGGCGGCUUUUUAAGUCAGGGGUGAAAUCCUGGAGCUCAACUCCAGAACUGCCUUUGAUACUGAGAAGCUUGAGUCCGGGAGAGGUGAGUGGAACUGCGAGUGUAGAGGUGAAAUUCGUAGAUAUUCGCAAGAACACCAGUGGCGAAGGCGGCCGGCUGGGGGCGCCCUGACGCUGAGGCGCGAGAGCGUGGGGAGCAAACCGG
rnacentral:rRNA from 1 species